UACGAGGGGGGCAAGCGUUGUUCGGAAUUAUUGGGCGUAAAGGGCGCGUAGGCGGUGCGGUAAGUCACCUGUGAAAACUCUGGGCUCAACUCAGAGCCUGCAGGCGAAACUGCCGUGCUUGAUGUGUGGGAGAGGUGCGUGGAAUUCCCGGUGUAGCGGAUGAAUGUCGUAGAUAUCGGGAGGAACACCUGUGGCGAAAGCGGACGCACUGGACCACAACUGAACGCUGAGGCGCGAAAGCUAAGGGGAGCGAAACAGGA
rnacentral:rRNA from 1 species